rnacentral:rRNA from 1 species
UGGUGGAGUGAUUUGUCUGGUUGAUUCCGAUAACGAACGAGACGGGGGAGCUUACUAGUUUGUUUGUUAACUUGCGUUAGCGAAAACUUCUUUGCUCGACAACUUGGUUCUACCAAGAGGAAGCGCCCGCAAUAACA